UAUGCCACCAUGGCAGCAACACGGGUUGCUUCCUGUGUUGCAUUAGGAUCAAUGGGGGAAAGUUGGGAUGGGGUAAGGGGAAAGCCAGGUGGAGUGGAGAAUGGGGCUACGGGUUUCCCAUGGCCCAUGCUGGGCACCUCCAGAUUCAUCACAAUCCAUGGUGAUCCCAGCAGCAAAUGUGAUGAGUUCUUAGGGUGACCCAUUAUUUUCAUCUGGUUUUCAUAGGCAAAAAAUACUCAGAGGUUAUUUUGCCAGUUCCUGCCUCUGAAAAAUAACUUUAGCCUUUUGUUAUCAGGAAUGCCUUAAGACCUUGUUUCAGAGAAUUUGGAGAUGUGAAGUUAGGUUUUCUGUGUCUGAAAGUUUGAAGGAAACCUAUAUAAAAUGUACUAUCUGUAAAGAAGAUAUCUUCCUUCACUAGUACUGUUAUGUUGUAGGGUCUGACAAGGGAAAACCAGAACAUAUUCCUUAUUUCUAUGCACUGUUGUCUUGUUUUUCAGUGAAAAGGGGGGGGGCAUUUUGCCCUUCAUUUUCUUUUUUAUGUUUAAUUCCAAGACAAAGCAGAGCAAUAUGAGCCUCCUUCUUCUCUUCUCCCUCCUUUUUAAAAGUUAUUGUGCUACAGUGCAUAAAUGGAGUUGAAUUUUUGCACUUUAUGGCUUUUUAAAAAAUGAAAGAUGUGGAAAUUUGCUCUUCAAAUUGCACUGGCCAACAUACAUUUUGGUGCCUCAAAUGCUAAACCUGUUUCUGGAUAUAUUUGACCUGCUGAUUCCAAAAACCAAAACACAAAGAUAUAUUUUUUUUGCAGGGCUGUGUUAUAGGACAACCACAGCAAACCAUGUCCCCUUAAAAAAAAAAACAUGCAAAGAACCUUACUGCAAAUAUACUUCCCCAAAAUAGAAUGAGUGGACAUAACACUGAAAACAACCCAGAAAAGUGGUUAAAAUUGCAAACCAAACCACUAUAUUUGAAGACCUUGUGGUUCUUUAGAUCAAUCUGGAAAAGGUCCUAAUUUUAGAUACUGCAUUUGACUUUUAUAAGGCUUUGAUCUGAAUAUUAGAAUCACUCUAAAACACCAUUGCCAAAAUGAAGUACAGAACUAACCAACAUUUUUCCUGGCUGACCCUCAGUCUUCUGAAAUCUAUAAUGUUAUCAUUAAAAUGUCCUGUGGAAACUGUUGAAGUGGGAAUGAUUGUACAUAGGUUUGUUUAAAUGUAAUUGAGUUAUAGUGAUGCAAUGUGAGCUGGGGAUUGCAUCAUGCACUGUCUGCUGUCCACUAUGCAAGUGUGUAAAGAGUUAACUGAGUGUUGCAUCAUACAGCAGAGGUGUUUAUAUAUAGCCUUCUGUUUCCUGUAUUCUCUCUCUGGUUAUCUGCUCUCUGCACUCUGUCUGUAUGUGUAUCGUCUUGUGAGAGUUUUCCGUUCACCAGUAGACCUGUUUAUAGAUAGUUGAAGUCUCCAGCCUCGUUACUGGUACCAGUGCUUCUACCUCUCUUUCACCAUCAUCCCAGUGCCAUGCAUCUUAAAAAUGUUCCAGCUAGACAGAGGAAAAGGAUGAAAAUGGGGACUGGACAAUUAAAUGUAAAAAGGAUGGAUGGAUACAGAUCGCUUUCCUGCUGUCAUGUUCAUGAAGCAAACAGGUCCAUGUGUUCCAAUGAUCGCAUCCAAUUUACUCCUUUUUCUGUGGAUGGCUGUUCCUGACUCCGAAGCUUCACCUUCUUGUCUCUCAAGUCUCACUGGGGUUACUUUAUGAGGCCCAUAAUUCAAGCAGAUCCAUUAUCUUGGCACUUAUCCCACCCACGAAGCAAAUGUAAUUAUGAUCCAAUUAAUUGGGUUUUCUGUUGAUUCUCGGUUUGUGGCUUUAUUAUCAGCCUAUUGUUAUAUAAAAAUAAUGCUGACAGGCCCUUUGGGCAUAAUUUUAUAUUGGCAUUGCAUGUUUAUGAGAUAAUUAUGUUUUAUAGAUAGUCUUGAGGGUUGAAUCCCUUCUGAGCAACACUUACUUAAAAGAUACUCAGAAGCUGAAAUGCACGUAAAUAGUGAGGCUUUCCUGGACUGUUUAUUGAACAAAAUCUAUGGAUAGAUAUUUAAUAGCUUUAUUAGCAAUAACCAUGAUGGUAAAUAACCAUGACUGAUUUUCUUAUAGCUCAUCACACUUUUUGUAUUUGUUUUUUAUUUGCAUGGCAAAGCAGUAGACACUCCGUUAACCGGCACUCAUGGGGAUUGGUAGCUGUCGAAUAAAUGUAGUAUCUGGUUGCUUGAGAGUGAAUAUUAAAAAUAGACCUACACCCCAUACCAUGUUAUAAAUUCUGUCUUGACUUGAUAUUAAUAUCGAAAAACAGUAACUAAAAGCAAAUUAAGACAAAUAAAGGUAAACUGAACUUAAUGAAACAUUUUUUUUGUAUUAUAAAACCAGCUUUGUAGUAUACACUUUUCGUUAAACAAAAUGCCGGUUGCUUGAUCAUUCUAGUUACUUGAGUUCUGGUUAACUGAGAGUCUGCUGUAUAUACAUUAAAAUGUCAUUCGGUGUAAAAAUUAGGUAAACCAAUGAAACACAAAAUAAAACUUGUUUAAUGCCAAUUGCUAAGAUAUUGCUAAUUCUUUAUGUAUUAUGGCAGUGAAACCACACAUUUGUGCAUAUUAAAGAAAAACAAAUGAAAGAUUGUUGUUAUGGUUGAGCCUUCGGGCUCCGGUAAUAGAAGAAGGGGUCAUAAGACUCCUCGAGAGUCAGACUCCUUCGAGGAGCGUGAAAGAAAGCGGCUCCGGGAUUUGUUUGCAGACCCGACAGAUGAGGACUCAUUUGAGGGUUUUUCUGAGGGUUUGGAGGAAGAGAUGGCCAGCUCGGAGGAGGAUGACAUGGAAUGGACUCGUGUGAGGGAGGAUUUGGGUGUUGGGGAAACAGGCAAUGAAAGCAUGGGAGGUGAUUGGCGGGUUGCAGUAUCAGACCCAUGGACUGGCUGGAGGGAUGGAGCGGGAUCCACAGCUGGGGAUGCUGUGGGGCGUAGUCAAAGGUGCUUAAGCUCUGAUGAGGAUGAUGAUGUUGGGGCGCCUGGAAUUGGGAUGGCAGCUGACAGCGAUGAUGAGCUUGAACUGGGAUAAAAUGGGGUUUGGGACCAAUGUCUAAUUGCGUUGGGCAAGGUAAUCUGGACGGACGCUUGGGCUUUUGUUGGGGAACUUCCUGAAGACGGGUGUGAUUCGUUACUGGAUACGUAAGUUUACCAAGGACACUGGGCAUCGACGGCAGGAGGAACUGUGCGGGGUUUUUCUCUGUGCAACUUGUGUUUAAUCUCGAUAGCUUGGACCUCCGUCGUCUUUUUGACGGGCAAUAUCUACUCGCAUUGGAUUGACGCUGGACUGACUGACUUCGAUUCCGGAUUAUCCCUUCUGCUGGCUAUCGGUGAGACCUUUGGAUUCCUAGACGACUACGCUUGGCUAAAGACCUCUGGACCGGAUUGGGACCCUGCUGACUGCCGUUACCCUGACUGCUGUGCCUGGACCUGGAUAUCGUUGGCCGCUGAACCUUAAGCUGAAUCCUGACUACGACCAUGCUUUUCGUUCGCUGCAGGAAGGAAUAAACAAGCCUGGUUUAUCCCCCUGCUGUUUCUGAGUAGCAGAGAGGAAUCUGCCACCAGUCUGUUGUUUACAUUCUGACUCCUGCUGAUUCUCUUUGUUUGCAUUGUUUGCCAGGCUGAAGUAAGCACUUUUGAUUUAAUCCGGAUUAUACUUCUGUUUAACCCGGUUUAUCCCUUUGAACCGUUUAAGCUCAAACUGAGCUGUUUUUUGUUAUUUAUCACACUGAAGUCAAGUGUUUGCCCUGUUCUUUGUUUCCUACGGGCGUUUUAGUUCUGUAACCUCAAUAAACUGAGUUUUGUUUUA